UAGGUGCCUAUAUAAGUAAAAGCCCCCAAAAUCAGGACUGUCCCUAUAAAAUCGGGACAUCUGGUCACCCUAAUGGCCUGUGAUACACAGGAGGUCACUGUGACUCAGGGAUCUCUUAGUGCCAUGUGGCAGAGGAUACAGGGGUGCAUGAGUUACAGGAUUCCCUUGGGACUGAUAUCUACAUAUUAGUUUGCCAAAGAGUGUCAUGAAAGGUCUAUACCAAAAGCCUGUGUCACACUGGUCAUCAUAAUUGCGAGAUGUAUGUAUGGAUAACGUGUGAAGAAUUAUGUAUAUAUACCCUGAAAAACAUGUUUUUAAGGUCUCUGAGUUGGGGCCUGUCACCAGAACUUGUUAAACAAGUUUCUUUCAGGCAAAAGAUGUUUAUCUGUCUGUCUACAUAUAAACUGAGUGCACCAUGGGCAUCCAUUUACAAUCUGAGGAAAAUGCUAAUCAAGUGAGUGCAAAGUGUCCAGGAGAGACCCUAGACAGGAAAACACAAGCAGUGGGGGUUAUCCUGUUUACAAGUGCAGACAAGGGAUGUAUAACUGGGGAUACAGAGGAUCAUGAUGAAUCCUUCACUUAGGAAGUAAGCUGACCGUGGAUUUGCUUCAUGAAAAAAGGCUCACAGCCAGCCAGGCUGUUAAACGCUGGGAGAACAACUUUGGUUACUACAUGAUGAAUCUUGGACCAAACAACUGAUUUCCAGAUGAAGGAGCGUAAUGCUGAAGAUUGCCAUGCUAAUACCCCCAGGGCAUCUGGAGUUUUAUGCAAGUCCCCAGCUUGACUGAAACCACAAUAUCCAUUAAAUCAGGAGUGUUACAUACCCAAUCACAGUCCAGAUCCAGUCCCACCUGACAUAUUCAGAUUAUGAAGAAUCUAAGAUUUUGGUUGUUCUUGUUUUUGGUUUAAAAAUAAAUUUCUGGCCCCCAUCUAA